UACGAAGGGGGCUAGCGUUGUUCGGAAUCACUGGGCGUAAAGGGUGCGUAGGCGGGGCUUUAAGUCAGGGGUGAAAUCCUGGAGCUCAACUCCAGAACUGCCUUUGAUACUGAAGAUCUUGAGUUCGGGAGAGGUGAGUGGAACUGCGAGUGUAGAGGUGAAAUUCGUAGAUAUUCGCAAGAACACCAGUGGCGAAGGCGGCUCACUGGCCCGAUACUGACGCUGAGGCACGAAAGCGUGGGGAGCAAACAGG
rnacentral:rRNA from 1 species